ACAUGCCUACAACAUAGUGUUAAUGCACUUGAUUCCAUUAGAACUCUGCAGUUAAGAAUGCUCAAGCUAGAGUAGUACUAGGAUGGGUGACACCCUUGGAUGUCCUAGUGUUUUACAUGCC
rnacentral:rRNA from 1 species